UGUAGGGCUCCAGUCUUUGGGUUCACAGCUUGGCUCUACAUUCAUUGCUGGAGGAAUCCAAGCCUCACAAAAGACCGCUUUUAAAGAAAAAACUCUUUUUUUCUUAGAAGAACUAGAUUAGACUAAGAUCCUUUGCCAAUAAGAAGACAAACAAUAGAAAAUUCCUACAGAUUAAGAAUCCCAACCAAGCUUUCAAUGAACUGACUUGCUUCAGCUCUGGGAGAACAGUUAUGACAUGGUGUUGAAUUACAUCAACGAGGAACCAGAGGGCACUGGGUAACCUCAUCCUCCUGGUCCUGGGUUUCUUUUUGGCCCCAAGGAAGUGGUGAAGGGAUGCGGGGCUCCAUCACACCGGAGGUUCAAUUUUCCAUGGUGAGUAAACAAGCAGAGAAGGCUUAGAAGAAUCCCUUUUCCAGGAGUACCUCGCAAGGCUGUUUUGAAGCAAGGCUGGAGCCCCAGAAAGCUGUACCUUAGCUCCACAGUGGCAGCAUCCCCUGUAGGAACCCCUCUGAUCCUUUGUGACAUUCUUGUUCAUGGUCCUGUGAAACGGUGCUCUGUGGGAGACUCCAGUCUGCUAGGAGAGCUCCCUUAUUCUCAGCACGGAGAGGGGGAAACCAUGAAGUAAGGGACCUAAUUUAUUUUUCAACAACACAACACACCAGUGCAUACUCUUCCAAGUAAGUGAGUGUGAGACCUUUCACAGUAGCUCCAAAGUGGAGUGAAAGUCCCCCCUUGCCCCUCUGUCAUUUUCUCUGACUGAAUUCAGUGAGGAAAAGUCUUUAUGCUUGGAAGGUAAAUUGAUUCUCAAAGACCAUCCACAGUCCUUAGGAGUCAGGUUCAGUAAAUAAAGUAGGCCUGAUUGUAAUAUCCUAAUAUUAUUUUCUUCAUGUAAAAUGGCUCUGAAAGCAAUGACAACAAUAAUGAUUCCAAAAAAUGGCAGCCCAGUUGAAAUCAUCCUUCAAGAUGAAUAUUUUCAUGACAAUGUAUAAGCCCCUUAGUAAUGUGGCUAAUUUAUUUUUUAAACCUAUUUCUCUCAUAUAUAUAAUUCAUAUGCCUACUAUUAUUUGCCAACUAAUACUAAAUUUAUAGUUCUGAAUGAGAAUUGUUUUUUGUCUAAAACAAACUGUUUCCCUAUUUAUAAGGUUCUUUACACAAAUAAGGUGAUUAAAAAGAUUGGCUUUGAAAAAACGAAAAUGCAGUAUGAUUUUACUAGAAUGAAUGCUUUGGUUAGCACAACUAUGAUGGACUAACAGCUUUUCUUCACUACAUGUUGAUAGAGUGAGAAGAUUUAAAACAAGCCUAAUGUACAUUAGCUGGGACACUUACUAUUAGUGACAAAUACUAAGAAAGAGGCUCUACUUGAACAGGCUCAAACUUAACUUAAAAAUUAUUUCUGCCUGUAAUGGACCUUUUAGUUGCCUGAGCAAUUGAGUGCUUUAGAUAACCCCCAUACAUAUCAAGAACAUUCUAAAUUUUUUUCCUUGGCAUUUGGAAAUUUCAAGUUAAGGAUGUCUGCCCUUGCUCAAGUUACACACUCUUCAACUUGGGCAGUUCAGCAGAAUUCAAAAGAUAAGAUGUGAAUGAGUCUAUCUAUUCAUGUCAUCACACUUCGCUAAAUUGCCAGGCUAUUUGAUGAAGGGAUAGCUCAGUUCUCACUAAACUGCAAGUGGGUUUGGCAGAUCUUCAGCUGGAAUCCUCUGAGGUGCUCUCAUUUCUGAACACUAGAUUGGGAAACCAGUUGUAUUUUAAAAGCUCUGAGACCCCUUUAAAUCUCUGUCCAUUUUGAGAGACCCAUUGAUUUACAGUAAAAUAUGAAUGUAAGAGAUGAACUUGUGGCAUCAUAACUAAGGGCUGUUGGCACUCUGGAAACUUGCUCAGAAGGUAAUCAAAAUAGAGCUAGAACCAUAGUCUUAGUUUUUGCUGUAGUCAAUCAAGCAAAGGGGAACAUUCUACUCAAAAACACAUAAAUAAUUUUGUUUUUUUCUGUAUUACGUUGAAACUUCAAAAGGGCUUGUAAAUAGGAAGAGAAAAUAUUGCUAGAUGGGUUCAGUAGUUACUUUUAAAUAAAAUAAAAAAUUGUGGCUAAAUCUAUUGCCUAAAAACUGUGCUGUAAAAUAUGUAAAUAGCCUGUAUCUUUAAAGCCUUUUCUUUGAGAUACAAAUAAAUGGUUUACAGUCAAAAUUC